GAUUUGAAAUCGCAGCGGCAACGCGGCGAGUUGUAGAUUGCAGGUGGGAGAGUUUGCGGGCGGCGGGCGUCGAAGUCCCUUGGAACAGGGCGCCACUGAGGGUGAGAGCCCCGUGCGAUGCCUGCCCAUGCUUUGAACUCCCCUCUGACGAGUCGAGUUGUUUGGGAAUGCAGCUCUAAGCGGGUGGUAAAUUCCAUCUAAGGCUAAAUACUGGCGAGAGACCGAUAGCGAACAAGUACUGUGAAGGAAAGAUGAAAAGCACUUUGAAAAGAGAGUGAAACAGCACGUGAAAUUGUUGAAAGGGAAGGGUAUUGGGCCCGACAUGGGAAUCGCGCACCGCUGCUCCUCGUGGGCGGCGCUCUGCGCUUUUCCUGGGCCAGCAUCGGUUUCCGCUGCAGGAGAAGGGGCUGUGGAAUGUGGCUGGCACGCUUGCGCGCCAGUGUUAUAGCCACGGGCCAGAUGCUGCGUGUGGGGACCGAGGGCUGCGACGGCAACGUCUCGGAUGCUGGCAAACGGCU
rnacentral:rRNA from 1 species